rnacentral:rRNA from 1 species
ACCGUAAUUCGACUGUGACAACUGGGAAGCUGGUUAAUAUUCCAGCGCCACUACGCGUUGAACUCCAACGCUUCGAGGUCGGUCGAGCCGGGCAUCCGCCCGGUCCAAUCGUCAAACUCCGUGGAAGCCGUAACGGCAGGAAGCGGACGAACGGCGAGAGUGCGUAAGUCGGCCUGACUUGGAGCCCGUGAAACGGAGAGCGUGGUGUCCGUACCAAGAUCCGACACAGGUACCCUGGCAGCGUAAGCCAAGACCUUCGGGAGCAACCGACGUUAGGGAAUUCGGCAAGUUUGUCCCGUACGUUCGCAAUAAGGGAUGCCUGCCCUCGACGGGGCAGGUCGCAGUGACUUGGCCGCUCCGACUGUCUAGUAACAACACAGGUGACCGCAAAUCCGCAAGGACUCGUACGGUCACUGAAUCCUGCCCAGUGCGGGUAUCUGAACACCAAGUACAAUUGGACGAAGGACCCGUUAACGGCGGGGGUAACUAUGACCCUCUUAAGGUAGCGUAGUACCUUGCCGCUUCAGUAGCGGCUUGCAUGAAUGGAUCAACGAGAGCGUCGCUGUCCCAACGCUGGACCCGGUGAACUGUACGUUCCAGUGCGGAGUCUGGAGACCCCCAAGGGGAAGCGAAGACCCUAUAGAGCUUUACUGCAGGCUGUCGCUGAGACGUGGUCGCCGAUGUGCAGCAUAGGUAGGAGGCGUUACAGAGGUACCCGCGCUAGCGGGUCACCCAGCCAUCAGUGAAAUACUACCCGUCGGUGACUGCGACUCUCACUCCUGGCGGAGAACACCGGUAGCCGGGCAGUUUGACUGGGGCGGUACGCGCUCGAAAAGAUAUCGAGCGCGCCCAAAGAUAUCCUCAUCCGGGUCGGGAACCCGGAGAAGAGUGCAAGAGCAAAAGGAUGUCUGACAGUGUCGGGCCUAACGACCGACGCUGACGCGAAAGCGUGGUCUAGCGAACCAACGAGGCUCCUCAAUGGUGCCCGUUGAUGACAGAAAAGCUACCUUAGGGAUAACAGAGUCGUCACCGGCAAGAGCACAUAUCGACCCGGUGGCUUGCUACCUCGAUGUCGGUUCCCUCCAUCCUGCCCGUGCAGAAGCGGGCAAGGGUAAGGUUGUUCGCCUAUUAAAGGAGGUCGUGAGCUGGGUUUAGACCGUCGUGAGACAGGUCGGCUGCUAUCUAUUGGGGGUGUCAGGUGUCUGCUGGGAACGAUCGUAUAGUACGAGAGGAACUACGGUCGGCGGCCACUGGUGUACCGGUUGUCCGAGAGGGCAUACGCCGGGCAGCCACGCCGCACGGGGUAAGAGCUGAAAGCAUCUAAGCUCGAAACCCACCCACAAAAGAGACACCGUCGAGGUCACUCGUAGAAGACGAGUUCGAUAGACUCGGGGUGUACGCGCCAAGGCAACGAGGCGUUCAGCCCGCGAGCACUAACAGACCAAGCCAUACUC